GAUAGAGGUCGCGGAUACGAUUAGUACCCCACAGCAAACGUCGGCAAAACGGCUGCGCGGGGAAAGGCUGUUCCGCCGAAGCGCAUUACGGUUGCCGCCGUCUUGCAGCUGGGCCCGCGUUUAAUAAGCGCGGUACUGUCACAUAUUUAUGUGGAGCACUAUC
rnacentral:ncRNA from 1 species